rnacentral:rRNA from 1 species
CAAAGGUAGCAUAAUCAUUAGGGGUUUAAUUGGAACCUAGUAUGAAGGGUCGGACAAAGGAAAAGCUGUCUUUAUAAGUUUGGUUGAAGUUUACUUUUAAGUGAAAAGGCUUGAAUAAAUCAAAGGGACGAUAAGACCCUAUAAAGCUUUAUAGAUAAUCUAAAUCUAGCUAAUCUAAAAAUGAAAGCAAGGUAAAGUUAUUCUAUUUCGUUGGGGUGAUGUGAGUAUAAUUGUUGUUAACUGCUUAAAUUUUAUACUUAUGAAAAAGAAUUGAAAAUAAAUGAUCCUAUUUAAAGAUUAAAGGACUAAGUUACUUUAGGGAUAACAGCGUUAUUUCUUUUGAGAGUUCAUAUCGAAAAAGAAGAUUGCGACCUCGAUGUUGAAUUAAAAUAUCUAUAUAAUGCAGCCGUUAUAAAAGAGGGUCUGUUCGACCUUUGAAUU